rnacentral:lncRNA from 1 species
GAAGGGAUGAAGGUCCAUCUUCUAUAACUUCUUUAAGCUGAAUCCAGGUGUUGAUAUGGGACCCAUUAGAGCAGUGAAAUCUUUCCUAGCUAGUCUUGGGUAGGUCUAGUUAUCUCCUGGGUAUAAGCCUAGCUGUUCAUAUUGCUAUAUGGCCUCAACUUGCUUAGACACAAAAGAAACAAGGCAGUUUAAGAAACGGGGCCCAAAGAUCAAGAGAAGUAGGAUAUCAGCUAAAGUGCCCAGGAAGGCACAACAGGAAGUGUUGGUGACUACACACACCCUACCUUGUUCUGCCAAGAGGUCAUCAAGAGCCGGAUGGUUAUAACGCACGAUAUUGGCUGGGGUAGACUCUGGAUGAAACAAGGUGACUCCAAGAGCAAAGCUUAGAAUACCUGAAUACCUGCAAGCAAGACAAGUAGAUUAAGUCCUGACAGAAAAGUAUACGCGGGCCCAAGGUUUUUAACAAAACCCAGUCCUGGGUUGUAAAAGAUGAAGGGCCAAAUGAGAUGAUGAAGGUAAUCCUUGAAUUCUGUAUUCCUGAAAGGGCUAUUUUUAGCCUCUGUGGACAGCUCCAUAGGGAGAAUGAACUAUUCGUCAACGUCACCCAUAUUUUACUGAAGAUUUUGAAGGUAUUCCAAUGUGACUGACUACUACGUUUCCUCACAUGUGUGCUGCUGUAUCUGAGAUCACCAUGUUUUCAAUUAUCUCAUAUGAACCGGUUUCUGUUCAGAAAAAAUCCUUCGGCCAAGGAUUGGAGGAGGCUUGCCCUGAGGACUGAGCUGCUUGUAGGAGAUGAACAGAAGUUUUGAAAACACAACAGCAAGAUGGUGAGGAAAUUUAAAUCAAAGA